UUUAAAAAGUUUUGUUAUGUUUUGUUCGUGAAAAUAUUUUUUUUUGAACAAUUGAACUGGAAAAAAAUACGUCCGGCAACUUCGUUUCCUCCGUGGUCGUGUAUACGUCUCCUCCGCGAUACCUGCACUGAUUAUUACAUAAGUUUUUCGAGUUUAGUGAUGGGGGUUUGCUCUAGACUGUUAUUGUAAGGUGACAACUUACUUCAGCUAUGGUUGAUCCGCAUCGGCACGGAAUCAUUCAUUCUCCGAGGGUUCGUCGUCGUCAGAAUCUGCAACAAUUGAGAUGUUUUAGCCGGUAUUUCAUGGAGCCAGAAAAUAGAUGUGAAGAUCUAGUCAUCAGGAAACGUACCGGUCGAUCGUGGCAAGCCUUUGAAUGCCUCUCUGUAGACGAUGUUGGCUAUUGUUCUGCUCUUCUCUCCUGUUCUGCUCAUGUCUAAAAUUUUGAGGCCUUUCGGUGUAGUAACUCUCGACAGUGCCACGUACAGCUGACCGUGGCUGAAGACAGGUUUUGGCAAGUAUAGUGACACGUUUGAUAAAGUCUGACCUUGUGAUUUGUUGAUUGUCAUCGCAUAACAGACCCGGAUCGGAAACUGCCUUCUCUUCAACGUGAAAGGAUGGUUUGAUUCUGUUGGCGACAGUAUAAUCCGUGGCAGGAGAAUAGGCUCUCGCUUUGUUGUCGAUGUUACGCAGGAGCAUGACUGGGACACCCACUUUGAGACGUAGCUUAUGAGCUGGUAAACCUGGAAACUCCAAUGAGUUUAGAUAUUCCAAUGGGUACUUGAGACACCAGAUAAUUGUUGAUCUCGUCAACCGUGAUAUUUCUUGGUGUCAAGAUGGCUGUAUCCCUGAGUUUUUGCCGAUCUGUGUAGUCAUUUGCAAAAUCCGAAAAUGCAGAAGAGCAAAGUGUCUCCAAAGGGUCUGAAUUGACAGGGAGUAGAACAGUGUUGUCUAUGAAUAUUUGAUCUUCUGGUGUUUCACUGUUGGACAUUAGCUGAUGUUCUGCUUCUGCUCUGCCAUCACCAACCUGAAGAAUCCAGUCUGCGAAAGCCUUUUCAUCCGGAUCUACACGCAUGUUCUGUGUGAGAAGGAAUAUCUCGCAGUUUCUCCAUAAGAGCGAACGAUUAAGAGCUGCGUUGACUGUUUCUGGUCUUGUUCCUUGUGGGAUUACUGGCAAUAUCUGGCGGAAGUCACCUCCUAGAAGAAUGGUCUUGCCACCAAAAGGUUUCGUUGAUGCCGAUGGAUCUGAGACAGACAAAAUAUCUUUGAGAGUACGAUCAACAGCUUCAAACGCGUGGCGAUGUGCCAUAGGUGCUUCGUCCCAGAUGAUCAGGUCUGAUUCGCCUAGGAAGUUUCCUAAGACUGUUCCGGGUUUAACUUCGCAGUAGGUGUCUUCGUAAAGCUUGAGUGGGAUACCGAAUCUUGAAUGUGCUGUUCGUCCUCCAGGUAAGAGAAGCGCGGCAAUGGCGGAGGAUGCUACGGGGAUCACCUUCUUUCUUCUCGAUCUUAAAGCUGCGAUGAUUGUUCGGUACAGAAACGUUUUACCUGUACCUCCUGCUCCAUAAAGAAAGAAAAGCUUGCCUUCGUUCUCAUACACGGACUUGAUCACUGCAUCAUAGACUGCUUGUUGUUGCUGGUUGAGUUUAUCAAAAAGCUUCUGGUGGGUCCUGGCUUCCUCGGUUAUGUCAAAGUGGUUGUGCUUCUCCAUUGCUUUUUUUUUCAUGUCAUCCAUAAUAGCUUUGUUAGGAAGUGGCAUUCCCGUGAACUGAGUCAAUGACUUCUCAAAACCUUGUAACAUGCUUUCUAUCUCGAUGAGAGUGUAAUGCUGGAGUUCGCAUGGUGUCAGCUGAAGGCCAGGGAAUCUAAGCACACGUCUCUGGUGCAUGAGCACAUCUUCUGCCAUGUCCUGCCAAGAGUGUUCCCAAAGUUUUUGUGGAUCUGAGACUUGACAAAAGACGAGGAUGAGCACAAAAAGAUAACGAAGACUUCUUGGAGAUGAGAACUGUGAUGCAUCCGACAUUGAAUCAUGCCAGUCCUUGUCUGACCCGAGCAAGCCUCUUGCAUAGCAGGCUUCUUGGAAAGAAUCAUACUUGAUGUCACCCACUGUGUACAAAUCAUCAUAGCUUGUUGGGCCUCGAAGCAGGCUCACCAAAAUGCCAAGGUACCGGGUCUGGACAUCCUCAAGGUCUUCAUCCUCAUCAAAAAUAGCCGUCUGUUCUCCAGGAAGGUGGACUGGCAACUUCUGUACUGCUGGGGUGUUGUGGUGAAUGUCGAAAGCAAAUAUUCUCCACAUUGAUUCACAGGCUGAAAGUAUCUCGAUGUUGUGUGGGACGACAAACUGGUUAUCUAGCUUUAUGUUUCCCUUCUGAACGAACUGAUCUGUGUUCCGGCGCUUAUAGACGAUGUAACCAGUGUCGUUGACUUGGGUGUGCGGGACAUAGCUGCGGGGGAACUUCUUAGUACAGACACCAUCUUCCAUGCACGGAGAAUUUUUCCUGUCUUUCCCACAGGGGCCAUGCAUCAUGUGCUGCUCCACCAGACAAUAAGCUUCUGGAUCUUUUUCUCUGUCGGGAAGCUCUGCCGAAACGAUUCUGUCAAUGUCUCUAGCUGUUGGGUUUCUGAAGUCUCCUUCGAGCCAUAAAAGUAUGUGACAAUGUGGUAGCCCUCUCUUCUGGAACUCUAUGGUGUAGACAACUGGUUGUUCAGAAAUGAAAAGGGAUCAAACCUGCUUUAGCACGGGGGAAGAAGACGCCUUUGUUGAAAUCUGAAAUCAUCUCGUCAAGUUUCAUCUUGAACACUCUAGCCUCCAGGUCGGGGCGGUCGUUGGGAUCGUCAGAGCCAUACAUUUUCAGGUGGUCAGAUAUCUCCUCCCAUUUAGGAUUGGUUGUAAAAGUGAUAAAUAAGUCUGGAUUACCUUCCCAUCGACAUAUUGCCAUCGCAUCGUGAUAUUUUUCCGCCAUAUAACGGGGACUCCCUGUAUGACUUGAAGGUCAGCCCUGAUUUUCUUCUGAUUUAAUCGAAACCAACGCAACCUCUCCUGUUCUAUGCAUGUGUAGGCGUCAACGAUAUACUGGUGCAAUAACCUUUUCGAACCCACGAUAACCAUGCCUUCAUCUAAGCGAGUCUGUAUCUGCCCGCCUGCCCAUAUGGGAAUAGGAGUGGAUAUUGCAGAGUCAUAAAGAGUGGAUGCAUAUCACUUAUAUGCUGCAGUCCUGACGAUCUGUGUUGAACAACUAUAUCUCUCUCGCCCAUAUCCUCGUUGAAGUCACCAACGAUUAAGCCUGCUAUUUCAUCUGUCUGAGGCAAAUCAUAUUGACGAUUACGUUUGGACUUGCCGGUCAGUUUUAUGCUGAAUUCCUCGCAGCCACCAGACUCAUGAAGGUCUCUUGCUUUCCUGAAAAUCUUGGUACUAAAGAUCCGAUCCUGUGUGCAUUUUGACCAUGGAUGCGGUAAGUGAAAGGACCUGUUUUGUGCAUGACCGAUUGAUCCAUCUGAGCCCCCAUAGACGUGAAAGCCAAGAUGGAGUUAUAUGUGCGGAUGUCACGUUGGAAUUGUGUUGAGCUGAGGAGUUUUUUCAAGACAGGAGGAGCUUCUAGUUCAGGUGGGAGUUUUACACGUCCUUGUUGACAGCAUAUACUGAAUAGAGGUGUCUUGUUUCUGGUUCCUUUUUUUUCCUUUUCCCAGACCAGAGCUUGGCAAAAUGGGCAUUCAAGAAUCCCGUUAUAUGUCUGUUUCUGAGACUGUGGCUUCUUCGCCUUAGAUUGUGACUUGGACCCUAAGAAAAAUAGAAGUUGGCCUGAGUUAGGUAGAUUGUUUGGAAGAAAUUUGGUUAGUUUCAGAAAGCAUUUCCAUAGUAGACAAUCACCUUUCCUAUUGGGUUUUAUUCGGAUUGGUCUCUUUGAUAGAAUGAUAGCUCUCCGCAUAGACCUUGCUAUUCUUUGGGUUUCUGCAUGAACUAUAGUUGUUAGUGACAUCAGAUUGGUAGGUAUUAUAUAGAAUCGGAGCUGACCUUUACGGUUUUGAGUUUCAUUGCUCGAGCCAGCAAUCAUCAGAGCAGUGUCUGAUUCAUGUGAAGUGUUUCCCUUGUGCCGUUUGUUCCAUCCUGUUGCAGAUUGAUCGUGUGUUUUUCUUUUUCCCAUGAUAAGCUUCUUCCAAUGUUUAUUGUAAAGUCAACUUUCUUUGAUCAAGAAAUGGAAAUCCGUGGGAGUGAUGCCGACUUCUGUGUUACCUCUCUAUUUUGUAACGUACAAUAAAUGAGACUGUUGGGUUUAUGUUUUGAAGCUUUUGUUAA